rnacentral:rRNA from 1 species
GUUUAUUUGAUAUUACAUUACUACUUGGAUAACCGUGGUAAUUCUAGAGCUAAUACAUGCAUUUAUCCUCUACUUCGGAAGGGGUGUAUUUAUUAGAUAAAAAACCAAUGCCCUUCGGGGCGCUUUGGUGAUUCUAGAUAACCUAACCGAUCGCACGCCCCCCGUGGCGGCGAUGAUCCAUUCAAAUUUCUGCCCUAUCAACUUUCGAUGGUAGUAUAGGUGCCUACCAUGGUUUCCACGGGUAACGGGGAAUCAGGGUUCGAUUCCGGAGAGGGAGCCUGAGAAACGGCUACCACAUCCAAGGAAGGCAGCAGGCGCGCAAAUUACCCACUCCCGACCCGGGGAGGUAGUGACGAAAAAUAACAAUACAGGACUCUUUAGGCCCUGUAAUUGGAAUGAGUCCAAUUUAAAUCCCUUAACGAGGAACCAUUGGAGGGCAAGUCUGGUGCCAGCAGCCGCG